UAAUACGGAGGGUGCAAGCGUUGUUCGGAAUUACUGGGCGUAAAGCGCGUGUAGGCGGUCGAUUAAGUCUGGUGUGAAAGCCCGGGGCUCAACCCCGGAAGUGCGCUGGAAACUGGUCAACUGGAGUAUGGGAGAGGGAAGCGGAAUUCCUGGUGUAGCGGUGAAAUGCGUAGAUAUCAGGAGGAACACCGGCGGCGAAGGCGGCUUCCUGGACCAAUACUGACGCUGAGACGCGAAAGCGUGGGGAGCAAACAGGAUUAGAUACCCUGGUAGUCCACGCCGUAAACGAUGGGUACUAGGUGGUGCGGGUCUCACCCCUGCGCUGCCGCAGCUAACGCAUUAAGUACCCCGCCUGGGGAUUACGGUCGCAAGACUA
rnacentral:rRNA from 1 species